CGGUUGCAUCUCUAUUGCAGUUACCGGGCAGUGAUAUAGCCAGCGGCAGCGAUGUGCUCUCCGACAUCAUUCCCAGCGUGCCCAGCUCACCCUGCCUCGCGGCCAAACGGAAAAACAAACCGCACCGGAACCUGGACGAGCUGCCCUGGAGCGCCAUGACCAACGACGAGCAGGUGGAGUAUAUUGAGUAUUUGAGUCGAAAAGUGAGCACAGAGAUGGGACUUCGGGAGCAGCUGGACAUCAUAAAAAUAAUCGACCCGAGCGCACAGAUUCUGCCGACGGACAGCGAGUUCAUCAUCGAGCUGAACUGCCUCACCGAUGAAAAGCUCAAGCAGGUGCGGAGCUACAUCCGCCAAAA